UAAUCUCCAAUGAUUGACC
rnacentral:rRNA from 1 species